UGUUGUGUUUAGGAAAAACUUUUGACGUUAAAAUCGUUGACGCAAAAGCGAGAAAGGGCAGCAACAGUUGCUACCCUCGAUCUGCGUGCAUGUAGUGCAGCCGCAAGCAGGCAGCACAGGGGCUACGACUGUAGUAGCCGGCCGACGGCCUACUUGCAGCAGGCUUGCGACCGACGGGGCUGGCAGCUCACGGGUAGAGGCGCCUGCGGUCAUUUCUCCCGCGAGGUGAGGCACCGCAGGGUAGCGGGGGGAC
rnacentral:lncRNA from 1 species